UAUGUCUGAGUGUUUAACAGAGCUCCACAACAAUAAUAGAGCCAAUUAUCUGUCUUUAAACUACGAUAAGUGUGUUUAGAAAUUAGUCUGGGGAUAUAAGAUACAUUAUUCUCGUCCCUCUUUGUCCACUAGAAAUGUUGGGAGGAAUCUUCUCGGGACCCAUGACCCCCAUCUAAGCCCUGGGCCCUUAGCUCAGUUUAUAAUUAAUUAGGUUAAUUAGUGAACUGGUAAAUGUCAUCACUAUAAUUAAAGAGGAAAUGUGGCAAUGUAUGCAUUUUUUUUCCAUUGGGGAUAUAUCUAAUAGCUUGAAAAAGCUGCAGCCUUUGCAAGCCCCCGCUCUCUAACCCCGCCCAGACUUUCUGUGGCUGUCCAAUCAGAGAUCCCAAUGCAGCUCAGUGAGAAGUCUUUGCAAGGCAGGUGCUCUGGAUGCGCUCACUGUAUCCAUGCAGAGCGUGAUGAUGUUGACCGUAGGUGCACUGUGCAAUACUGGACUAGGAAGCACCUCUAGUGGCCGUCUGAGUGACUGCCACUGGAGGUGCCCGUAGCCAGUAAUUUAAAGCGUUUACAUUGAAAUGCUUGCAGGGACUGACUAUACUCACCAGACCAACUACAUUAAGCUAUAGUGAUUCUGGUGACUAUAAAUGGUGAAUAAAUAGUGAAAAAUAAUAAAUGCAGAGUUCCCGUGUGUUUUCUUCCAUUCUAAUACAACAACGAUCACCAUCUAGCCAUUGACAAAUGUAUGGGAGAACCGGCAGAAACAAAUUAAACCUGAACUAUCCUAGCUUAUCAUUUCCUCCUAAGCUAAAUUUCAUUACUGUGAUGGUAUGCUUCUAAGCCAUCAGUAUGCAUUCCUGAAAUCUGCUGGGCACAGGGCCAUGCACUUGUGCCACCCAAAAGCUGUACGGUUUUGUGAGAAAGGGUUAAAUAUCUCCCAGAGGAGGUAAUGCAGUCUCGGAGUUAGAUAUAUGACAGGUUUAUAUUUCUGAAACCUUGUAUUGUCUGGAAUCUCUGCAGGUCAGAUCUUGUUUUAUUUCUUACAUAAAAGUAGAGGAUUUAGGCGUUUCUUUAUGAAGCCCCCGCUUGGCUCAGUCGAUGGGUCAUGCUCACAUUUUGACAAAUCUACAGAGGAAGACAAUGACAUAAAUAUAGACUGUGGCGUUUUACACCUGAUAAGAAGACACCUACACUAAAACAUAAUAUGCAAACUACAAAACCAGUUUCAUUUUAUAUAUAAAAAAUAAAUCACUGUUUAGUUCGUACCCCCCCUCCUAAAGAAAACAUACAUUUAAUUAUAUAUAUUUUUUCAAUGAACUUAUAUUUAUAAACCGCUUGAAAAAGCUGUAGAUCACUUGUCUGCAGCCUUUGCCAGCCCUCCCCUUCUAACCCCUCCCAGACUUUCUGUGGCUGUCCAAUCGCAUACUUCCCAAUGCAGCUCAGUGAGAAGUCUUUGCAAGGCAGGGUGUCUGGUUAAUUGCUGUCUAUUGAGUUUAGUUCCACUGAACCAAACAACCAGGAAGUAACAGGACCGGGGUGUGUAACAAGGUUAACUUAUAUACGUUUAAUUUUCUAUUUAAAACUGCUUUUUUUAAUAAACAAAAACGAGGACAUACUCUUUACACGUGAAGCACUUCAACAAGCUAAAGUUCUUUAGGUAUUUGGAUUGUCCCUUUAAGGUUUUUAAUCAGUUUACAUUUUUUGCCUUAAGUACUAAUGUUAAAGAAGAACCAUUACACCAUCGAAUAAAAAUAUUAAAAAUCCCAUCU
rnacentral:lncRNA from 1 species